CUUCAGCGAGCCGAGCAGCAGCGGCCGGUCGGCGGGACGGCCCUGGCCGUAGGUGGCCAGCAGGGCCUGGGCCUC
rnacentral:antisense_RNA from 1 species